UUUUUUUUUUUUUUUUUUUGUCUUUUUGCUAUUUCUUUGGGCUGCUCCCGCGGCAUAUGGAAGCUCCCAGGCUAGGGGUCGAAUCAGAGCUAUUGCCACUGGCCUACGCCAGAGCCACAGCAACUCGGGAUCUGAGCCGCGUCUGCAACCUACACCACAGCUGGCGGCAACGCUGGAUCGUUAACCCACUGAGCAAGGGCAGGGACCGAACCUACAAUCUCUUGGUUCCUAGUCGGAUUCGUUAACUACUGCGCCACGAUGGGAACUCCCGCUUUGAAAAUAUUUCCCCCAACGUGUACCCUGUCUUUUCACCCCCAAUGGUGUCUUUUGAAGUGCAGUGUUUACUAUUUUAAUAAGUACAGCUUAUCAAUAUUUUCUUACUUUGUUUUGUGUCUCUCAAAGAUCACUGUCCCUUGUUGCCUGAUGUCCAGUGUCUUGAGAACCAUCGUUUCAUAUACUUUUUCUGGAAGUUUCUCCCUCUCUCUUGGUUGUUUCAAGUGAGAUAGUAAGGUUGCUUUCUAUUACUCUUAGUUGUCAGUAGGAACCCCUUUCGGUUUUCAGAGAUUGUAAAUAUACUAAUCAACAACUCGAAAAAAUUUUGUCCUCUGGCAUCUUCCUUCAGAUAUAACUUGGGGGAGUUCCACUUGUGGCACAGUGGAAACAAAUGUGACUAGGAUCUAUGACGCAGGUUUGAUCCUUGGCCUCGCUCAGAGGGUUAAGGAUCCUAGUUGCUAGGGCUGUGUUGUAGGCUGACAGCUACAGCUCUGAUUCGACCCCUAGCUGGGAACCUCCAUAUGCCGUGGGUCCUAAAAAAGCAAAAAAAAAAAAAAAAAAAAAAAAAAAGGCAAAUAUAACGUGGAGAUUUUUUAGACAGUCGGGUUUUGUGUCUCUUACUUUGUGCCCAAUAAAAUGAUUACUUUUGACUGUUUUUUUAUCACAUAAAUUUUGGCUAUUGUUUUAAUAUUUCCUCUUAGCUUAUUUUAUCCUUUUAUACCAGUCUAUUCUUUGAGAACAAAUUUUAUUUCUCUUGGAACAUGAUAUCAAAGAAUGAAUUUGGAGGAAAGUUUAAGCUUGAAUCCUCAGGGGGAAGAAAGACACCACAGGAAACAAAUGCUAUAGCCACAAUUUCUGGAGGUAUUGAAAUAAAUGGCUGUUAAAUUAAUUGCUAGGUAAUCAGGGAUCUGUUGUCAGUACGUAAAUAAGUACGUAAAUAAGGUGCUAUAAACUGUGUUCUCUACGAAGCUGUUGCUGAUGCUGAUGGCUAUCUCCAUGGGCAAGUGAGAAAACCAACAGGAAGAUGAUGGAUAUUAGUGAAAAUAGUAAUAAUUGUAGAUCUCUGAUUAUUCUGGUCCAAACUGAUAUUUUUCUUCUUCUCAUUUUGAUUACACAUAUAUUCUUUUCUGUAGAGACUGGCUUAUUAGUAUGGCCUAUUGAAAGAAGUUUCACCGAUUCUUUUCUCCUCAAUAGCACUACAUACUCUUUGAUGGUAGACACUGAGUUUAUGCCAAGUAGAAAGACUUUAAUUUCUAUCCUCUGAAGUUCUUUAAGGAGUAUAGUGGAGCCUGCCGGUUGUCCACCCAGAGCCACUGUCUCCGUCCACGGUCAGCCUCAUUGUACACAACUAGACUACAUUUUACAGCCCCCUUGCUCUUAGGCAUCGCGGGGGAAAUAGUUCUCACCAGUGGAAUGUGAGAAGUGAUGUGUCCCCACUCUGGGUUGGGGACUUAAUUCAUUCAGCGUGCCUGCUCCAGAUUCUUUUAUUCCUUCCCACCAGCUGAAAUGCAGACAUGGAAAGCACCCAGCUUUUACCAAGAAAAUGAUGAAAAUGUCCUAGAAAAAGCCCAGGACUGGACAUCAUAAAGAGCAGAGCUUCUCCACUGACCUGGAUCUUUGACACUGGGACUGCUUCAAGAGAAAGAGAUAUACCCCUUUAUUCUUUUAAAAAAUUAAAUUAAAAAAAAAUUUUUUUUUUGUCUUUUUAGGGCCACACCCACGGCAUAUGGAGGUUCCCAGGUUAGGGGUCCAAUCGAAGCUGUAGCCGCUGGCCUACACCACAACCACAGCAAUGUGGGAUCUGAGCCAUGUCUUCAGCCCACACCACAGCUCACAGCAACGCUGGAUCCUUAACCCAGAGAACAAGGCCAGGGAUGGAACCUGGGUCCUCAUGGAUACUAGUCAUGUUCGUUAACCACUGAGCCAUGAUGGGAACUCCCCCUUUAAUCUUUAAGCCCCUGAACCAGAUCAUCUUUGUGACAGCAGCCUAGCUUUUACGUCAACAACCCCUCCUUCACUUUGUCCAGGUGGGAGCCAGGAAUUUUACUCACUGGAGAGAUGGAAUCAGACAAAUCCUCAACAUAUUGUAGGAAGGUGUAGAGGUAAAGCAUAGCUGCAAACAGGAGAGUUGAGUGAAAAUCUUCAUGUUUACUUUCCAUGUGGCAGAUUGAAGAAUUCCCUUUUGGGCUCAUUCUUAUGGAAAGAAUGAUCUGUAAUGCCACGAAAUAGCUGGAUCCCAACACCCAAGUGCCUACACUGAUGCCACUCAGUCAAUAAGCUCCAUCAGGUACACAGAGUUUUGGUCAUACCUUUAGAUCAGUGCCUUGACUCCAAAUAUGAAUGGACAGCCCACAGUCACCAAGCAUUUGAGGAAAGCCUCUGUCAUGAAGAAAGAUCAAAAUGGACUUAUAGAAAACAAAACAAAAAGUUUUGAAUGAGAAAUAAUGCAGGGAAUAGAAGAAAAUGAAAAGCUAAAGCAAAUUCAAUCUGGAAAAUCAGCAACUAUAUAGAGAAAAGAAGAUACUGCAAGAAUAAAACAAGAGUAGUCAUCUAUAUAUGCAUGGGUAUGGAGAGCAAGAAAUAACUCAAAAAUUAAAAAAGAGGAUAAUGGAAAGGAACUCUAAAUAUUGAUCUUAAUAAAAAUUAUGGUGGAAUUGGGAAGAUGAGAGAAGUAUGUAGAAAGUGGGUAAGGUGAUGGUAGGAAGAAAGUUUGAGAAGAAUGGGUUAGAACAGCUGUUUUUCAUAGUAAACCAUGUAGAGUCUUUAUCUUUUGAUAAAAACAAAAUAAAAUUACGGAGUUCUCACUGUGGCACAAUGGGAUUGGCAGCAUUUGGGGAGCUCUGAGAUGCAGGUUCGAUUCCCAGCCUGGCAAGGUGGGUUAAGGAUCUGGCAUUGCUGCCACUGCAGCUUAGGUCACAACUACAGCUUGGAUCUGAUCCCUGGCCUGGAAACUCCAUAUACUGCGGGGUGGCAAAAAAAAAAAAAAAAAAGUUAAAAAAUUUAUAAAAAAGAAAACUAGUAAGAUGAAAGACACAUCAAGACACUUCACUUAAACUGAAUGCUCUUAACCAUUCUAGAAGGGAAGAGAGAUCUUUUAGUUUUCCCUAUGUCAGUAAACUUUCACAUUAUAAGGACCAUGGGGAAGCCAGGAUAGGUGAGAGAAUUCUCUACUGAAACCCCACAGGCAGUCUUUGACUAACAGGAAUUAUUUCAGCUCCUCGGGAGGCAAGGAAAAGCCUUGUUCCUAGACCCCAGACAUUUCAACCUGUGCUGACCAAGGGGACAUUUGAGUAAGGAGGAGACUGUACAUUAUAAGUUAUAAGCUGUCAUUAAUAUUGACAACAACAAAGAACUCUUAGAAGGGACAUUAUACGUAAUUUGUAGAAUUAUUCCUUUAACUAUUUUCAUUUCUUACUGUGCAGGAAUGUGAUUAAUAAUAUGCAGUAUUGUCGUCUAGUCAAGUUUUCUUAUGAGAGUUCCUAUUUUGGCUCAGCAGGUUGAGAACCUGACGUAGUGUCUGUGAGGAGGCCAGUUUGAUCCCUUACUCAGGGGGUCAAGGAUCUGGCAUUGCCGUGGCUGUGGUGUAGGCCACAGCUGCAGCUCUGAUUUGCUGCAACCUUUAGUUAGGAACUUUAUAUGCCGCAGGUACAGACAUUAAAAAAAAAAUCUUGUUAUUCUAGAAGGAAUACGCUUUUGUGUAAAGUUAACCCAAUGUUUUGAAACAUAUUGAUGUGUAAUCACUGCCAAAUGCUAAAUAUAUAUAACCUGGUACAGGAAGAACUGAUAGAAGUUAGGUUAUUUACUAAUUUUAUUAAUUUUAAAAACGUUUUAUUUUAUUUUUAUUUAUUUUUGGCUUUUUAGGGCUGUACCCACAGCCUAUGGAAGUUCCCAGGCUAGGGGCACAAUCUGAGCUAAGUUGCCAGCCUACACCAUAGCCAUAGCAACAUGGGAUCCAAGACACAUCUGUGGUCUACACCACUGCUCACAGCAAUGCUGGAUCCCCAGCCCACUGAGCGAGGUCAGGGAUCAAAACCUCAUCCUCAUGGAUACUAGUUGGAUUCGCUUCUGCUGCACCACAACAAGAACUCUCAAUUUUAUUCUUGAUUUGCUUUAUGAUGCAGGAAAAGUACUUAUUUCAUAAUUUAAUCACCCUCUUUCAUGAAAACUGGAUAACAUUGUAUCUGCCUAUGUUAUUGGCAUAUUGCAGGGAUGCAUAAGAGUGGUUUAUAGAGUGGCAUUUAUGACUUAUAGUGUCAUGAUAUUUAUCAAUUAGCAUUUUUAUGUAAUUGCUCUCUCGUCAUAUAUUUGUGUGACCUUGAUAUCUUUCUGUGCCUCAGUUUCCUUACUUAUAAAACAAAGAAUGUUGGGCUAAAAAAUUUCAUGAUUAUAAAAUAGCUCUUGUCAAUUUACAAUUUUCAAAAUUCGUUUUUAAAAAUUCCUGAAUGUAAAAUAAUAAUGACAGAAUUACAUCUGCUAAGUAUCCAUGCAUAUAUUUUACAUAGUCAGAAUAAUGGAAUGUACAUUUUAACAUGGGAUAUGAAUGUAUAUCCUAAACUCCCUUUUGUUUCUAAGUAAGAGAAAAGAUAAAGAACUAAAGCUUUAUGAUCAAAGGAUCUUUGUUACUCCACUUCAUAAUUUCCCAUGUGUGGAAUCCCUGGAGGUGGAAAGUAGAGCUCAUCAACCAACCAACCAUCUCUUCCCUGACUGAGUUCUAAGUAGAUGACUGAUGGGGGCGACAGUAAAGAAAGUGAUUCAGGACGAGAAGAAGGCAGGCCUCCAACUGUGUCCACAAUUAGGGUCUCAUCUGCCUGUUGGAGGUCCCACUGGACUGGGGUGACCCACACAGGGCAUGUAAGUGCCCCAGCAAGGCCAGCUACAUGGAGAGCAGAGAAGCAAUAAAGAUCUCAAUCGCCUGGGCGGUGGGGGGGGGGGGGGGGGAAGAGCCUCCUUGCCUGCCUGCUUGCAUCUCUCUCAAGCAUCCUAUCUUAAUAAAUCUAUUUCUUGCCUAU
rnacentral:lncRNA from 1 species